UUAACAUGAUAUUGAUGGGUUUGCAUCUUUUAAAACACAGCUCUUUAAUUUUUUAGUUCUAUACUUGCUAAUCCCAGUCACUCAAUGAGGGCCUGGGACAGAGUCUACUAAGGCAUGCAGAGCUGGGAGCCCCAGGUUGGCUUCUAGCCCUCUUUUCCUACUAUCAUCUUUAUGAUGUCACUUGGGGUAGACACUGCUGACACAGGGGUCUGCUGGCACUUAGGCCU
rnacentral:lncRNA from 1 species